rnacentral:rRNA from 1 species
CCUACGUGAGGCAGCAGUGGGGAAUUUUGCGCAAUGCUCGUAAGAGUGACGCCGCGACGCCGCGUGAAUGACGAAGGCCUUCGGGUCGUAACGUUCUUUCGACAGGGAAGAAAAUGCCUAUAAGUAACUGUGUCUGUAUUGACGGUACCUGUAUAAGCAGCCCCGGCUAACUCCGUUCCAUCAGCCGCGGUAAUACGGAGGGGGCGGGCGUUGUUCGGAGUGACUGGGCGUAAAGAGCACGUAGGCGGUGUUGUAAGUCAUUAGUCAAAGACUAGAGCUCAACUUUAGUAAGGCUAGUGAUACUAUAAUACGAGAGUAUCAGAGAGGAUUGCAGAAUUCCUGGUGUAGCGGUGAAAUGCGUAGAUAUCAGGAGGAAUACCGUUAGCGAAGGCGGCAAUCUGGCUGGAAACUGACGCUGAGGUGCGAAAGCGUGGGUAGCAAACAGGAGUAGAUACCCCUGUAGUC